rnacentral:lncRNA from 1 species
GGAGCAGACUCUCUUUGAGUUAGCAAGGUGCUUUGCCUGGUCUCGUGAAAGUAGAAGCUCGCGAAUCGUUGGUCGAUUGCCGGAGCGAUUCUCUUCGAGUUGUCAGAGUGGUCUUCUUCCGGUUCGCUCGUCGAAGGAAGGUUCUUUUAUAUUUUGUUCACUUAUUGUAAAUCUGUGAGAUUGUUUUUAGUGAAUUAGUAUCAGAGCAUGCUUUGAUAUC